CAAGGAUGCUAAUCGGAUGUGUUACCACUGAGCCACGACGGGAACACCUCAAAGUAGCUUUAAUAAGCGGUUUAGAGUGGAGAGGAAAUCAAUAGGCUUAGAGACUGAACUUGAAAACCAACAGGUGAGACAUCCUACUUGGCUGCCGGCACUUCUAUGUUGGCGCCGAGAGACAGCAAGUUCCUGGCUGCCCGUACUUUAAAGCCACCAACUUUUCAUCAUUGGGGCAAAUUUUAGUUGCUUCACGGGGAGAGAAAGUGAAGUUAACAGAGAGGGAGGCGGUGCUCUGGACCACAUACAUCCUCCUCUUUGAUGGCGCUGUACUGAGACGGGCAGGGCUGCUUCAGGAUCUCCUCCCACUGGCCAUCUUCAAUCAGCUCCUGAUCCACUUCUUCAGCAGGCAGAUCCUAAAGCAGAGAACACCGGUGAGGACCGCAGCUGUUUCCCGUUUCCAGAAGACCCCUUGUCUCAGCACCAAGAAGAAAUGCAGCAUCAUGACUUUCACAGUCCUUCCUGGGCACCGUGCCUGCCUCGCGCUUUUAAAGCAAACGGAAUACAACUGCGAAAACAGCCACACCUGGCUUGUCAGUUGACGACAAACUUCAUCAUCCCGGACCAGGAUGAAAAAGAAGAGAAUUUUUAGGUGUUAUACACUUAUUUAACCAAGUGGCUCUGACAGCUGUGUCUACCUCUCAGUUCCAUGAGAUGUCAAUUCCUUCACCUUCACAGUAGUCGUCUUUGAGUCGCCAGGAUUUCCACACACUAAGGGAACACAGCACAGGAGACAAAGGACAGCCGCAGCAGCCACUCAGCAACAGUUAUCGUCCCGGUACCAAGUUCUGACUGCACGCUGGAUUUCAGGUGUCUUCAAUCUCUUAACAUCAUUUUUUCCUACCAUCCACAUUCUGGACCCAGGGAUUAUGAGCAUAACGGAGACAAUGAACAAGUGAAAUGUUUGAAACCCGUCAGAAAGAAGCCAAUUGAAACAGAUGUCAAGGAAUGAAUCUCAUACUGUGACCAUUCACGGUCUGCCUGGAAUUAAGAUUAAAAAUAAAAUAGGUCUCUCUGUA